rnacentral:rRNA from 1 species
GGGCCCGCACAAGCGGUGGAGCAUGUGGUUUAAUUCGAUGAUACGCGAGGAACCUUACCAGGGCUUAAAUGUAAGUUGCAUAGAUCAGAGAUGAUCUUUUCUUCGGACUACUUACAAGGUGCUGCAUGGUUGUCGUCAGCUCGUGCCGUGAGGUGUCAGGUUAAGUCCUAUAACGAGCGCAACCCCUGUCGCUAGUUGCCAGCAAGUAAUGUUGGGUACUCUAGCGAGACUGCCGGUGCAAACCGCGAGGAAGGUGGGGACGACGUCAAAUCAUCACGGCCCUUACGUCCUGGGCUACACACGUGCUACAAUGGCCGGUACAGAGAGCAGCCACUACGCGAGUAGGAGCGAAUCUACAAAACCGGUCUCAGUUCGGAUCGCAGUCUGCAACUCGACUGCGUGAAGCUGGAAUCGCUAGUAAUCGG